rnacentral:rRNA from 1 species
GACGAACGCUGGCGGCGUGCUUAACACAUGCAAGUCGAACGGAAAGGCCCUGCUUUUGUGGGGUGCUCGAGUGGCGAACGGGUGAGUAACACGUGAGUAACCUGCCCUUGACUUUGGGAUAACUUCAGGAAACUGGGGCUAAUACCGGAUAGGAGCUCCUGCUGCAUGGUGGGGGUUGGAAAGUUUCGGCGGUUGGGGAUGGACUCGCGGCUUAUCAGCUUGUUGGUGGGGUAGUGGCUUACCAAGGCUUUGACGGGUAGCCGGCCUGAGAGGGUGACCGGCCACAUUGGGACUGAGAUACGGCCCAGACUCCUACGGGAGGCAGCAGUGGGGAAUAUUGCACAAUGGGCAGAAGCCUGAUGCAGCAACGCCGCGUGCGGGAUGACGGCCUUCGGGUUGUAAACCGCUUUCGCCUGUGACAAAGCGUGAGUGACGGUAAUGGGUAAAGAAGCACCGGCUAACUACGUG